UUAGGAAUAUUCGUCAAUGGGGGAAACCCUGAACGAGCAAUGCCGCGUGAGUGAUGACGGUCCUCUGGAUUGUAAAACUCUGUUGUUUAGGAAAAAUUGUAUUGGUAGGAAAUGACCGAUACUUGAUGGUACUAUUCAAGAAAGCCACGGCUAACUACGUGCCAGCAGCCGCGGUAAUACGUAGGUGGCGAGCGUUAUCCGGAUUUAUUGGGCGUAAAGCGUCCGCAGACGGCUUGUUAAGUCUAGAAUCAAAGCCCGGAGCUUAACUUCGGUUCGUUCUAGAAACUGGCAGGCUUGAGUAUAGUAGAGGCAAGUGGAAUUUCUAGUGUAGCGGUAGAAUGCGUAGAUAUUAGAAGGAACACCAGUGGCGAAGGCGACUUGCUGGGCUAUUACUGACGUUCAUGGACGAAAGCGUGGGGAGCAAAUAGG
rnacentral:rRNA from 2 species